CGCGUAGGGCGCAAGCGUUGUCCGGAAUUAUUGGGCGUAAAGAGCUCGUAGGCGGUCUGUUGCGUCCGCUGUGAAAACUCGGGGCUUAACCCCGAGCCUGCAGUGGAUACGGGCAGACUAGAGGUAGGUAGGGGAGAACGGAAUUCCCGGUGUAGCGGUGAAAUGCGCAGAUAUCGGGAGGAACACCGGUGGCGAAGGCGGUUCUCUGGGCCUGUUCUGACGCUGAGGAGCGAAAGCGUGGGGAGCGAACAGG
rnacentral:rRNA from 1 species